CAAAAUAUCAAACACCUUGUGCACGCACCACUCCUGCAUUGGCAUUACUUGUUUUCAAGCAAAUUAAGAAGCCAAAACCCAUCACACUCAAAAACAUGAUGAUGAAGCUUCAGAAUCAGCCUCUUUUCUCACUCACACUUACACUCAUCUUCCUUUCCCAUUGCACCAAAAUCAUAUCCCAAGCUCCUGCUGCUGCUCCGGCUGCUCCUGCCGCCCCAGCUACCCCAAUUGCCCCAGCUGCCCCAAUUGCCCCAGCUGCUCCAGCAAUUACAGGGCCAGCAGUUCCAGCACCACCAGCUGAUGCCCCUGCACCUGCAGGCCCAACCAACAUCACCAAAAUCCUUGAAAAAGCAGGUGGCUUCAAUGUCUUAAUCCGCCUUUUGAAAAGCACCCAAGUAGACAACCAGCUCUACAGCCAACUCAACAACUCAAAUAGCCAACUCACCGUUUUAGCCCCCACUGACAGUGCCUUCUCAAAGCUCAGCACAGGCUCACUCAACUCUUUGAGUGAUGAGCAAAAAGUCCAGCUCUUACAAUUCCAUCUGAUCCCAGAUUUUCUCACAAUCCAAAACUUCCAAACUCUCAGCAACCCAGUGAGGACCCAAGCUGGAGAUGGAUUUGAGUACCCACUAAACAUUACCACAUCAGGCAGGGCAGUCAACAUAUCAUCUGGUCUUGUCAACACCUCCAUUUCAGGCACUGUCUACUCUGAUAGUCAAAUUGCUAUUUACCAACUUGACAGUGUGCUCCAGCCUUAUGGUGUUUUUGCUCCCAAGCAUCACCCACCUUCACCGGCACCGGCUCCGGUGCAAGAGAAGCCUAAAAAGACGUCAUCAUCUGAUGACAGUCCUGUUGCUGAAUUGACGAAGUCUGCUGCUGUGCCUACUCUGAUCCCUAAAUUUAAUGGCAUUGUCUCCGUUGCAGUUGCUAUGGUUGCUGCUGCAGCAUUAAGCUUUUGUUGACAAAAUUGUUUGUUCCAAUUGGAGUUGGGUUGAAUUUGAAGGGUAAUGAUGUACGGUGACUGGUUUGGAAUAAUUGUUGUUUUGCAUGUCAGGAAUGUGAUCUGUAUGUGAGACCAAUGGGUUCUUAUCUGUUUUGUUGUUUGUAUCUGUAAUAUUUUCAUUUGUAUUCAUCUUCGAUUUCUGUGUAUUUUGAGAAACUUGUGUAAAUUCUUCCACAAAAUUAGUA
rnacentral:lncRNA from 1 species